rnacentral:rRNA from 1 species
AUUGAACGCUGGCGGCAGGCCUAACACAUGCAAGUCGAGCGGAUGAAGGGAGCUUGCUUCUGGAUUCAGCGGCGGACGGGUGUGUAAUGCCUAGGAAUCUGCCUGGUAGUGGGGGAUAACGUCCGGAAACGGGCGCUAAUACCGCAUACGUCCUGAGGGAGAAAGUGGGGGAUCUUCGGACCUCACGCUAUCAGAUGAGCCUAGGUCGGAUUAGCUAGUUGGUGGGGUAAAGGCCUACCAAGGCGACGAUCCGUAACUGGUCUGAGAGGAUGAUCAGUCACACUGAAACUGAGACACGGUCCAGACUCCUACGGGAGGCAGCAGUGCGGAAUAUUAGACAAUGGGCGAAAGCCUGAUCCAGCCAUGCGGCGUGUGUGAAGAAGGUCUUCUGAUGGUAAAGCACUUUAAGUUGGGAGGAAGGGCAGUAAGUUAAUACCUUGCUGUUUUGACGUUACCAACAGAAUAAGCACCGGCUAACUUCGUG